UAAGACGAACCGUGCGAACGUUAUUCGGAAUCACUGGGCUUAAAGCGCGUGUAGGCGGGAGGGCACGUCCGUCGCUGAAAUCCCCCGGCUCAACCGGGGAACGGGCGCGGAUACGACCUUCCUUGAGGGGCGUAGGGGGACCUGGAACUUCCGGUGGAGCGGUGAAAUGCGUUGAGAUCGGAAGGAACGCCCGUGGCGAAAGCGAGGUCCUGGACGCCUACUGACGCUGAGACGCGAAAGCCAGGGGAGCGAACGGGAUUAGAUACCCCGGUAGUCCUGGCCGUAAACGAUGGGCACUGGGUAGGGGGCUCGCCGAUGGGCUCCCUGCCGAAGGGAAACCGUGAAGUGCCCCGCCUGGGGAGUAUGGUCGCAAGGCUG
rnacentral:rRNA from 1 species